ensembl:lncRNA
AAACUUUAAAGUAUAUUAUUUCUGUAAUAUGCACUCUUUUUAAAAGUAUGCUAAAGUGAAUGUCUUUUUCAUAAUAUAGACACCUUUUGAUUAAAUAGAAUAUUGGGAUAUCACUAAUCAACUUAAAUGAUUGAAAAUUAUUAAUAAAUAUUUCCAUUGUUUACUAUUCAAGGCAAGAGCUUGAUUCUACAUUCUACUGCCAUUGCUUACAUUUAUGUAAUUCCAGUUGCGUAGACCCCCAUAAUGUUUGUUCAUGUGAUAUAUGUUAAAACUGUCCUCUCAUAAUCACUAGCACAGCCAGUGGAUCAAAACGCCCCCACAUUUUCUAUGAAUAUCGUCUUCACUGUGUGCAUGCAUUCAGUACACUCAAAGGGUACAAUGUCGAACAUAAGCUACGUCUACAAAUUCUGUGCAGCUACACCAAAUUUUAGUGUCUUGAACUUUUUAGAUCAACGAUGGGUUUUAUAUUGUCAAUUUUACAGGAUUUCCGUACUAAUAUGAUGUUGGUCCAGUAAUCACACUGCUUAACUUGUUUUCCAGAAGAACUAUUAUUUCAACAUGAAUCCCAGCUCAACACGAGCCACGGGAUUCUGUGGGAACCAAAAGGCUAUUCUCUCUCUGGACUUUGAUGGUGGACAGCUGGAGUUCACUUUCAUCAAGGAAGGUGAUCUCUCCUAUGUGAGCACUAUCAAAGGUCUUCUGAGACCUGCUCCCCCCUGUACAAAUUGCCGGAGUAAGUAUAAAUUACACUACAACCUUUGCAAAUACACUCAUCAUGCACACAUGAUUAUUCUUAUCCUUAAAAUAUCUUACUAUUUUAUCUAGGGCUUGACAAUAAAGAGUAACAAUGUGGCA